rnacentral:lncRNA from 1 species
CCAAACCAGCAAGAAGAGAGAGAAAUCAAAAACCAAACCCUAGAGAGAGAAAAUCAAAGAAAAAGUGUGAAUUUUCAAGGAAAUUAAGUGAAAAAUGUAAGAUUUUUUCUAUUAAGCUUGAGUUUUCUUAUUCCCAAGCAUUUCUCCUUAUUUUCCAUAAUUAAAUUGCAUGUUUUCAUGGCUGGUCAUAUGGGUCUAGAGAAAGAAAAUUGUUGGAUUGAUUUGAUUUUGAUAUAUGUUGGUGUUUAGUGUUAGUUUAGCAUGUUAGUAAACAAAAUAUGUAGAAAAACAUUCAUUUUUUCCAUUACCUAGCCUUAGCUGAAUUUUCAAGUCAAUGGUGAGGAAGAAUGUGAUGUUAUUUUAGGUUAUUUGAUUAUGAAAUCAUGGUUUUUGAUAUGGAAAUUAAUGAAUAAUGGAAAGAAAAUCAAGUAGGAAAAAUUGUGACAAUGAUGCACCAUUUUGGCCGAAUUUUUUCAAGAAGGAAUAUGAAUGUGGCUUUGCUGAUUUUUGGGUUAUUUGGCUGGACAUUGGUGAUUUGAAGCAUUAGAAAAAGAAAUGGGAUCAAUUGGAGCUAAAUUGGAUGUGUAUUUCAAUUUAUCAAGUAAAAGACCAAAAUAGGUCAAUACGGUGUUUAGGCAAAAUUUAGACCUUUUGCAUUCCAUAUCAUGCAUUAGUAGUCUAAAUUAGUUUAAUUUCAAUUUAGUACCAAUGUGGUGAAUUUCUUGAUUUUAUACUAUGUCAAGGUGGUGAGUCCUCCGAUAAAGGCAAGGGAAUUGCAUCCGAGGACCAAUAGUCUGAGUAUUUUGAAAAUCCCCACUCUAGACAUUGUGAGUAACCUUAUCAUCAUUUUAAUUAUCUAAAUUAUGUUUUAACUCAGUUUUGGUGAAAUUUUAUGAAAAUGAGUUAAAUGGCUAAGUUUAGGUUUUGCAAACAAAAAUAUGUUUAAAUGAAAAGAUUUUAUAAAUUGUCUUGAAAAGAAAAAACGAUUUUGAAAAUAGAGUAAUUGGAGACCACUGGUAUGUUGCAAAUUUAUGAUUGGAAAUUGAUGGCUUAUGUUAUAUUGUUAUUGUGUUGGCAUGACUGGUUGGGCUGUGUUUUAUGAAUUGUAUGAAUUAUUUUAUUUUACCCUUGCAAGUUGGGUAGUAAAAUAUUAGCCCUGUCAUGCUGUCAAAAUUUAUUGUAUGGUGGGUUUAGCUUGCUGCAGUAGGCAGAUUCUGUGGACCAGCCUAUUAGAAGGGCACGGAAUCUGGAUAUAUAUAUAUGUACCUCGAUCGGAUAGGCACGUAGGGUAUCUUCUGAGGUAUGGACAGAGUUCACAUCACACUGAACCACCUCGUGAUGAUGAACUACGCUAACACCAAGGAAUGACUGUGUUUUUCAAACUAAAAAUAUGUUUUACGAGUAUACAAAAUUUUAACAGCCUUGGCGGGCUCGAGUGUACGCCUCUGAUCAAGGUGUCAUCGAGUAUAUUUGAUGGCAUGAGCCAACUGUUUAUGAAAGUCAUAAGCCCUAAUGAGAAAUUAAAUGAAAUACAACCGUUUGCAUGGGUUGGGAUGAAUUUUCAAAUUGUGAAAUACUUAAAAUGAUGGGAUAUUUUAAUUGUCUCCUUUUACUCGGCUUGAGCUGAUUUAAAUGGUGUUUGUUUACUCACUGGAAUUUUAGAAUCUCACCACCCUCUUUUUCACCCAUUUCAGGUUUAAAGUAGGCUGUAGAUUGCUGGUUCUAUCGGGGAUUUCCAUUGGAUUAACGUCCUCCACACUGUAGGUUCACAGUUUCUUUAAUUCUAGUUAUUGUGGGCUCACUCGAUGUUGUAAAUUUAAAUUAAUUUAAAUACUCUAGUUUAUUGCGUUAUAGUAUGAAUGAAUUUAUUUUGCUUUCAAGUUACAAAAAG